AAGAAGAGGGCAGCGCCGGGUUGCGGUGUUUUCCGUGCCCUGGCGUAGGCAAUAUGAGCUUGGUAUCAGAAAUGCAGUGUAAAGCUUGUGCUGACCUGGCAGGAGAGAAGCAGCGCUGAGGGAACUGGAAGGAUAAACAACAGCCCGGUUCAUCGGCACAGGAGUGAAGAACUGCAUGCGGAAAAGGAACGGGGCAGCCUUCCUACCAUAGCUGUGUCCAGAGCCGGCUGUCACUUCUCCCAACGGACGAUGGCACCUGAGCCGGUUUGGAAUCUGCAGUCCUAACAAGCUCAGCCAAGUUUUGUAAGCUGAAGAUCUCCAUUUAUCUUUAUCGUGUCAAUUGCUGACAGUGUUUCAAUACGGUGGUAAAAAUCAAAGAGCUGAUGUCCAUCCACAAAUAUUCUAAAACGGGGAUGCUCGCAAAGUAUCUCAACCUGUAAAAAAUAAAAUUAUGAAGUACGUUG